CCCCCCACCCCUGCCCCUGUUCUGGGAAGCCAGACACCACAUCAUGAGGACAUCAAGCUGCCUGUAAAAAGAAUCAGGAUCUGCAGCCAGCAGUCAACCUGCUGUGUGAGCAGCCACCUUAGAGCAAGACCUGGAAGAUCAAUAUCGUGGAGGAAGCCGAGCUGGUCAAUGGACAAGAUUUCCUUUGGAACACUGCCCGAUUCUUGUCGAUGUCCUUAGCUCAGCUGUCACCUUGGAGGUGAGGUUACAGCUGGAAGCAUUAUCCGAUGACCCAGACAGGGAAGUGGGAAAAGCGGGGUUGACUCCGCGGCGUGGACGGAAAUGUGGCAGGUGCUCUGGGCUCCCAGUCUGGGGUCGCGGGAAGGCAGCUCGAAAGUUGGAUGUGGCAGAAAGGCACGUGGCGCUGAGCUAACCGGAAGUGGUUCAGAAUAAAACACAAGCAGGUGCCUGGAGGAGUGGACUGCACUUAGCAUCAGGAGGCUCACACCAUCAGCUCUUGACCCUCAGAACCUACAGCAAGACCCGCUGGGCGCCACAGCCAAGACAAAACCUUCCUGCUUCCUCAACUCCCA